rnacentral:tRNA from 1 species
GCCCUCGUAGUCCAAUUGGCAGAGAUAGUGGAUUUAGAAUCCAUCCAGUGUGAGUUCGAAUCUCACCGAGGGUA